rnacentral:lncRNA from 1 species
AGUUCUCUCGAUGUUGCCCAGGGAGCUGGGGGUGUUUGGAGCAGGGAAGGGACCCAGAAGGAAAGGGGGGGUGCUGUGGAGUGACCAGGAAGAAUGUGGGCUUUUUCUGUUUCCUGGGAGCUCUGGUGAGGUUUGUAGGUGAUGAGCUCCCCCUCUUUUCCGUCCAGGAGCUGCAGGAUCUGCCAAGAGAGGCUGGGGAGGUCCUGAGACCCUUCCCUGUCAGAGAAGAAGAGGCAGAGGGUGGCAAGGGCGUAAGCAUGGCUUUCUCACCCAUUCCCAGGGGACAGGAGGCAUCGGGAGAGUGUCCUGCGUGGGGGAACUGUCAGAGGGGAGGAUGACAUCGUGCCCCCUGCACCUCCAGCCCCCAAUAAUGUGAGGAUGCGCUAAGUUAGGGAAGUGAGGAAAAGGCCCCACUCCUCCUAGCAGAUUUCUGAACUGAGGUGAGGUCUGAACUGGUGGAAAGAUGAAAUUUUGAUUUCAGUCUAGCUGGAAUUUAUUUUAAAAAUCUGCAAAGGAUGCUGUUCUAAAGCUGAAAAGUGACUGGAAAAGCUCUGAGAUGCACCUGGGGUGUUGUCUAGAAGUGGGGAAGGAAGCUCUGGCACAGAAGUUCGGGAAGUGUGGGGAGACAGAAAUUCAUUUCCCCCCAUUCAGAGGGCCAGGCGCAAGUUUCUGCUGAACACUCUCCCGUCUCUUCCAACCUACACCUACAGCCCUGCAUCUUCUCACUGAAAACAUUUCCAUCUUCUGGGUCAACAGCCGCACUUUUUGUGGUGUGUAGAAACGAGAUACAGGGGCCCCCAACACCCAGUGUGUUGGGUGCUGUACAGGAGUGAGCGUUGGCGGCAGCCGGGGCUCGGCUCACCGCCUCAGGGUACUGUGUGUACACAGGAGUCAGGAGUAAGUCACUUUCCCAGCCCGUGAGGCAUCAUUUUAGAGCUGGUUUCUCUACUGUACCAAUGUCCCUGUUCUGCCUGGCCUUUGUCUGCAGCCCUGCUCCCUUCCCUGGCUGUCACCAUUCCAGGAGCUGCCCUCCUGUGCUCUGCACUGCUCCCAUCCACCUGUCCCCGCCCCAGACUGUGGGUGGGAGCCCGACCUGCACUCUGGCUGUGCUGGAACAAAGCGUCAGGGCUUGGUCACCAUCAGCCGCUGACCACGGUCUGCUCGGGCUGCUGGGAGACCAGGCUGUGCUGGGGAGUUCCCGGGGAUCCUGGCGCCUGCCAGGAACCUGAGCUAGGUAGGUGGGAAGUAGUUGUGAGCAAGACUUACGGCCUCACGGUGAUGGGAACAGGAAGGUUCAGCUGCCAGAUGCACACAGAGUAGUCAGCAGCGCGGCCCUGGGCUCUCAGGCUUGGGGUGAAACCCUGAUCUCCCCAUUUCCAGCCACGUGGCCUUGCUCACCUCUCCAGCCUGGGUCUAUCUGUGGAAUGGGAUGCGGUGGUGCCGACGCCACGGGGCUGUUAUAAAAAUGCUCGUUUCAGCUUGGAACUUACACCGGCCCUCCCCGUGCUCCCUGAGUGGCUGCUGUGCUGGGCCUGAGGGCUGCUUGCUCCUUCCCUCACUGUUCCCAAGCUGUCGGCUGCCCUCUGAGGUCUUCAUUUGGGGGCGGUUGUACUGAGACGUCUGCGGACUCAGGCUCCGCGAGGGUGCGUUCUCCUGGGGUCUCAGCUCCUUGGUCUGACGGUGAGUCUUUCAGAGGCUGAAGGGUGACGGGCUCCACAAACACCUCCCCACACUGCUCAUCCCGCAGGCUUUGCCACUCGGUUCAUGGAGAGGAGCCUGGGGGGAGCCAGGAUUCCCGUAGCUCCCAGCCUGAGAGGAGGGUGCCGGCCCGCCGCACCUUCAGCUGGGGCCUGUUUCUGUGUGUCAAGGCCGCCAGGUGAGUCAGCGGAGCGGGAGAGCUCUCCUCCCGCCCAGCCUCACGCCUGCCGCACUGGCUGAGCUCCCCGCGCCGUAGACCAGGGCCUCCCCCGGGGUUGCACCGCUGGUGCUCCCGGAACCCAGGCCCCUCCUUCAGUCCUCCUCCGCGACUCACUGGGGAAAAGGAGCCCGCAGCCUCGCUGCCAUCCCGCUCCACAGGAACCCCAUGAGUGAAAAUCGAUUACUUGCGCCGAGUGCUCAGCCGGGGUCUGGCGCACAGAACGGCUCAGUGGUUGGUGGUGAACUCCCUGAGGCCGCUGACCUGCGGCCUAUUUAAACUCCUGACAUGCAGUCAGCACUCAGAUGUUUGACGGGCAAGUGAGCAAACGAACAAAUGAAUGAAUAAGUGCCUUAGAACACUCAAGGCAGAUACACGUGGGCAGAAAUGAACUUCCAGAGGCCGCCACAGCCUCAGUCGUUUCCUGUUGCAAUAUUGUCUAUGGAAUGGCUGAGCCAAGAACUGAAAGGUUCCGGUUCCUCUCCCCGGAGUUUGGACAGCACCAAGCUGUAGCAGUAGGGUCGUAUGCAACACAGAGAAGGCCAUUUCUGUGGGAGAUGCUUCCAGUGGAACUUUGGAGUCUGGGCUGAGCUUGUCGACAAGGGUCUUGAGCCUGUUGUUUAUUAGAAUUUGGCUGCAGGGUUAGCUCUUCCUCUGACAUGGUUCAUCCCAUUCAUCAGAUGAGUAAGGAGUUGUCCCCGGACUAUAGACCUGCGCUGACAUCUCUUGCACAGUAAAGAAAAGGAAAAAUUCAUAGUUGUAUGUUGUGGUUUUCAGUAUCUUUAGUUUACAAGCCAACUGUUUAUCACAUCAGGACAUUGAUCUAUAAAUAAAUUUGAAAGCAGUGAUACAUCUGGGCCUUCGCGGGCCUCCAGUUGAGGCAAUGAUCUAUAAAUAUGUUUGUCUGUGUCGCUGAUCUUUUGUUAUUAAUGUUGCGGCUUUCAUCGUGGUUAUCAAUCUCACCCUGAUUACCAGAGUCUUUGCAAAACACUUUGUUCCCUGACCAGGCCUCG